AACGAACGCUGGCGGCAUGCCUAACACAUGCAAGUCGAACGAAGGCUUCGGCCUUAGUGGCGCACGGGUGCGUAACGCGUGGGAAUCUGCCCUCUGGUACGGAAUAACUCAGGGAAACUUGAGCUAAUACCGUAUAAUGACUUCGGUCCAAAGAUUUAUCGCCUGAGGAUGAGCCCGCGUCGGAUUAGCUAGUUGGUGGGGUAAAGGCUCACCAAGGCGACGAUCCGUAGCUGGUCUGAGAGGAUGAUCAGCCACACUGGGACUGAGACACGGCCCAGACUCCUACGGGAGGCAGCAGUGGGGAAUAUUGGACAAUGGGCGCAAGCCUGAUCCAGCAAUGCCGCGUGAGUGAUGAAGGCCUUAGGGUUGUAAAGCUCUUUUACCCGGGAUGAUAAUGACAGUACCGGGAGAAUAAGC
rnacentral:rRNA from 1 species